rnacentral:rRNA from 1 species
AACCAUCGUCGCGACCCC